rnacentral:lncRNA from 1 species
UGUGAGUAGUAGCAGCAGAAUCUACCCACCAAGUAUCCUUAGAUACCGAAAUUAAAUUAACUCCAGAAUAAACAAGAGAAAGAAAUGUACCUUUUUUCGCACGCCAGGCAUUGGUACAAUCUUUCUUUACAUGAUUAGUCCCCUUACAGAAGAAGCAACCUAAUGCAGUAAUUUCAACCUUAGGUUCCUUAUGUUGCUUAAUCUUGGGCUUUGCAACCGCAACUUCCUNNN